rnacentral:lncRNA from 1 species
AUGUAAAUAAAAGGCAUGUAAGAGAAAGGGAGACAAGUAUUUGUCAUAAAUAUAACCCAGGGCUAAUAUGUAUAACAUAAAAAAAGCCCUUAAAACUUAACAAGAAACAUGAUUAUUUAAAAUGUUUAGGGGGAUGGGCAGAUCAUGACAGACGGGAGGCAGGACUAAAUUGCAGCUCCAACUCUGAUGGACAGAGCAGCCUGUGGAGCCUCGCAUCAUGAUUUUUUGCUCCAGAAUGACUGCAGGAAUAAAUCAGGAAAGCCGAGAGAACCCGCAGACCCUCUGAAGGAAGUGGAUUGCUCCUACAGGACCCGGGAGACACCCCAAAUACUGCAUUGCAGCUCAAAAAAUGUUACUCCGAAAUAAUGCCACUUCAACAUGAAGCAGCCUCAAGGUCUUUCUGGCCUCCCCUCCCUUCCUGUUUCUCCCAAGCACAGGAUGAAGCUAUUCUCUGAAGUUCCUUCAUCUACCUAUAAACUGGACCUGCCAAAGAGAAACACAAUUGCUUUCCCUGAAAUUUCAUUAACCAGAGAAGAUUAAAACUUCUAUCACAGAGGAAGAGGCUGAAAAUUAAACACCCCACCUACAGCCCAGAUGAACUUAGUCACAAACCAUUGUCUGCUCUCCAUCCCAUUCAAUUUCCAAAGAAAAGUAUUAACUAAUCAUUGUCUGAGCAUCAGGCCCAUUCAUUCAUUUCCCCCUAAAGAUCAUUUGCUAUCCCGCAUGUCCCCCAUGUCCCCUACUGAUCAAGCAUAAGAAGGGUAUGAAUAAGGGUAUAUAAGCAUCUGUACCCCACUGGGUUACUGGGUAGUCAUUUUCCUGGAUUCUGCCAUGUACACAUGUUAAAAUAUAUUUAUAUGCCUUUUUCUCAUGUUAAUCUGCCGUUUGUCAACAGAUUUUCAGCAAACCUUCUAAGAAUAAAGGGGACACUUUGCCUUCGUCUCUACACAGGUAAGUAAGUGGUCCCCUAAUAAUUAACUCAACUGUGAAAACAAGCUGACAUUCAGGCCUAGAGAUGAACAUACUGACAUAAAACUGAGCUCCUCUAACAAAUAGUUGUAACAUGUCACUCCAAGAUGCAACCUCACACAUAUAUUCUUACAAAUGAAAUCCAGUAACUGCCCCUUAGACCUUUAAGUACAAAUUAAAGAGGCACUAUAAGAUGACACUCUUUUAGUAACAGAAACAAAUUAGCUUUUCAGGUAAAUACAAAACAAAUUAUUACAGAAAUAAUUUCCUAAAUAUUAAGAAACGGAACACAUUACUUUAAAAUAAGCCAUAAUAUAUAAAAUAAGGAUGUAUUAAAAAACCAAAGUUUAAACACAUUUUUGCUUUCCCAAGGCAUUUUCUACUUCCUUAGCACACUUCUUUCCGAGGGACAUUUCCCUAAAAUUAAGGACUGUAAACCUACAAGUUAAACUUUUUUGUAAGGAGAGUAUUCUGUCUUUAUAAACCAGUAUGUAGACCUGCUGCCACCUGUUGGCUCCAGACAGUCUGAAGACCUAGCAACCUAUGGCUUUCAAGUGUUGGGUCCCAUAGCAUUCACUUUUACUACAACAGUUCAGGUUUAACAAAGGUGGUCAUUUGUACAUCAGUCACAGAAAAGGAGCCUGUCUAGGAUUUGUGCACGUGUGCCUUUGAUGAAAACAAAAGAAAACAAAAAAAAUUAUUAAACAAUAAAAUGGAUAUUGG